rnacentral:snRNA from 1 species
AGUAUUGUGCAGUGGCAGUAUUGAAGCCUGUGAGGUUGAACUGAGGCACAGCCAUUGCUAGUUGAAAGCUUUUAACUU